GGGGAAUAUUGGGCAAUGGGCGCAAGCCUGACCCAGCAACGCCGCGUGAAGGAAGAAGGCUUUCGGGUUGUAAACUUCUUUUAAGAGGGAAGAGCAGAAGACGGUACCUCUUGAAUAAGCCACGGCUAACUACGUGCCAGCAGCCGCGGUAAUACGUAGGUGGCAAGCGUUGUCCGGAUUUACUGGGUGUAAAGGGCGUGCAGCCGGGAAGACAAGUCAGAUGUGAAAUCCCGCGGCUCAACCGCGGAACUGCAUUUGAAACUGUUUUUCUUGAGUACCGGAGAGGUCAUCGGAAUUCCUUGUGUAGCGGUGAAAUGCGUAGAUAUAAGGAAGAACACCAGUGGCGAAGGCGGAUGACUGGACGGCAACUGACGGUGAGGCGCGAAAGCGUGGGGAGCAAACAGG
rnacentral:rRNA from 1 species